GGCUGAUGGAGGGUUCUGACAAAACAUCCGCGAUCAAGUCCUGGAAACUGCCUUCGUUGAGUGGCAUGGACUCCAGCAGGUGGUUCAGCAGCUCGGCAGCGACGGUGGAAUCAAUCCCCGGGCAGUUGGAGACGAAGCUCUGUCACGCUUUCCACAAUUGCAGCAGCACAAAAGUUUUGCAUGUCCAACUAAUUGGAAGUUGCACCCCAGAGGACCAGAGAAGCUGUGGAGAAAAGGAGAGGAGAUACUAGCAAAAUCGGAAGAGAAGAUAUGAGACAAACCAAAAAACAUGGAGAGAGAUUUGUUUAAUCUAUUUCUGAUUUACGGCCUGGUCCAGAGCCCAUUGAAGUUGGUGGGGGUAUUAUAUUGACUUCAGUGGGCUUUAGAGCAGGCCCUUAUUGACAUCCAUUUAUCUACAUCCAGUCGGCGUGGAAAUUCUAAUGAUAUCAAUGGAGAUUCCAUGCUUGGAAUGAUUGUAAAGUAUAUGCUCUUUAGUGAAUGAGCAAUAAAACAAAUAAAUGAGCCAAUCUGAAAUCUUUUAAGAACCCUCAAUACAACUGAUAAUAGUUUAAUAUUACCUUACAUUUUAAUUUAAUUUUACAGUUGACUUGAACUGAUGAUAACAUUGCACUGAAGUGGCACCUUUUCUGGAGUGGAGCCUUCUGUAACCUCUAAGAAAAGUUACAGGAUAGAACUGGUCCUGAGAUGGACUUGACCCUGAGGUAUUCCCCUUAUUGCAGAUAGGGGAUUUCUGCACUGUGUGGGCCUGGUGAGCUGGAGGCGAGGACCUUAAGGCUGCUUUGCAGGUCUCCUCGCUGGAUCUGGGUAUCAUUCAGCUGCCAUAUAUGACUCUCUGCUGGUCCAUGUUCUGAGUCAUCACCAGCUAUCGAGAACUUGGUGCUGAGCAAGAAGUUGUCUUCUAGAAGACAUUUCACAGAGUGGGUUUAGUUUGCGAUUAGAACUGUAGAUACACAGACAUGAGCAGGGACAGGUCUCAGGAAAGAGCGUGUUUCCCUUUAUGGUACACUGAUAUGUCAGAGGCUGUAAGUGUAAAUUAAAUACCUUGUGAUCACUGUGUCCAAUAGGCUGCCUGGGCCACCCACCUAUCAGAUUGCAGGGUGGGCUGGAGGAGUCCAAGCCAUGAGGAAAUCCAAGCAUUCUUGUUGCUUCCAUAGGUCAUUGGAUGUGCGAUAAUCAAUGAUGUCAGUGUCCAGAUGGAGAAGCCUGGUGGUUAUACUUAAGCAAUAGUCUUAGUUUCCUAUUAGAACAACAGCUCGUUCAAAAGUGGUCACUGUGGAGGGCUUGCUUUGCAUAGUGUGGUGUUCGAGAUGAAGCUAUUGGUGAUGAAGAACUUUUAUUUCUCCAGAAUAGUUCUAUUUGAAUGUUGUAUCAGCUGCUUAGGUACGCUUUUCUCUACUUAACUGGGUUGUAUGACUUACCCAAGGCGAUAUGGUGAGUGGUUGGUUUGGUGUGGAUUCGAACCCUUCUCAUUCACAGCCCUUUGCUGUAAUCUCUGGAGCAUAGUGCACCCCAGUGGCAAUGUUUAUUUUAAGUAAAGCACUGUGCAAGACUGCAGCAUGCGAGUGUGUAGUCACAGAAUGCUGUAUUUCUGCUACUCGAUAGAGACACUAUUCCACAUCUGAUGUCUCAUACAGACAUGACGCUUUGCUUGUCAGACUAAUCACAGACACUAUACAAUUCUGUACAUGUCUGAUCCAUGUCACCACACAUUCAACCACUCCUUCUAUGUUCCCCAGAAUCUGUUUGCAGAGUCUCAGGAUGUUUCAGCUGGAAUCAGUUCUGUGGUGUAUGGGAUGUUCCUGGCACCUGGCAAGGACUACUUCUUGAUACCUGAGCAAAGUAAUAUCAGUGGAAGUCUGAAGACAGGGACUGGGCACAGGCUAGUAAUUUUCCCCCAAAGAUUUGCUGGUGACUUUUGGCAGCGGGCGGCGGGGGGAGAGAAACAGUUGUCAAACAGUAUAAGACCCAGUGAUCUCGUUAUAGCAUUUAUAAAGUGAUAGGAAUGGAGUUUCUUUGCAUUUGACAAUCGCAGAGGGACAUUAUCCAGAGAUCUGAGCACCCCAGUUGGAAACAGGAAGGUGUGAGUUCUAAUUCUGGCUCUGACACAAGACUCUCACUAUGGCCUUGGACAAAUCACAUAGGCCAACGUUUUCAGUCUCCAGUUCCGAAGCAAGGUACCUAAGCAAAGAGGCCUUAUUUCCACAGAUACUAUGUGUUUACCACUUGCCUAAAAAAUCGGGCUGCUUAUUUUGGUAUUUAAAUAUGAAUUUAGGAGACUAACUUUAGACAAGUUUGAAAACAUCGGCCUUAAUUUCGCAGUCUCUGUAUUCCCAUCUGUAAAAUGAGGAUAAUUAACAGGAGAGAUAUAAGGGAUCAUGUUUAAGUGCUAAGUAUUAUUAAAACAUACCAAUGUACAUCUAUUUCAAAAGUACUUGAUCCAGUUCCCUCUUAUUUCUGAGCAUGAAUGAAAUUCUCAAACAUAUCCAGCUAUUAAGGGCUUACAGUUAGACUCAAUUACUUUCUCUGUGCACUCCUUUUCUCUUUCUGUAUCUGAAGUUACACGUGUGCCCAUCUCAGUGUAGCAACUACUGUAUUCAAAGAGGGAUUUGCAUAGAUAACAUUGAUAAAUUAUGUUGUAUUAAUUAGAGCAGGCAUUGAUUACUGAGAAGUUUCAUUUAGUACAGACUUCUUCCGUAGGAAUAGAUCUUACAAUCUUAGUAUCAUCAUGCUUAACUGAUUAGUUGCCCAAACAUACUAACAGACUGAACUGGGACUGGUGUCAUGGUGUGUUACAUUUCAUUUAACCCUUUUGGGAGGAGACAAGAGAGGUUCAAAACUAGGCUGUUUUAGCAGGUAUCUCACUGUUCCAAUGUGCAUCCAUAAGCUAGCUUGAACUGCCAUGCCUUGCUACAAAGCAGUGAAGGGUUAAACCCUGGGAAGCUGAUGAAGACUGAGGCAGGUGGCAGGCUGUCUUUGCACAAGGCUUAUUCUGUUUGAAUGCAUGAAAUCUGUCAGGGUAGUAAACACACCCGUAAAUCAAAAUUCUUAACAGAGCCCUAGCACGGUACUUCCAAGUGGAUCCUCGGGGGAUGUGUUUGCACAGAGUGAAAGGGCUUCUGUGCAGCACUAAGCAGAUUUAAAGGGUGAUCAAGCAGGCAGAGCGGGAGGAUCUGAGCUAUAGGGGUAUGAUAAUAUCUGGACAAACAAGAACACUAGGCCCCCUCAAAGCAAAAUCAUGUGAGAAGAGAAGUAAUAAGAGGAUCUUUCCUAAGCUAUGAGCCUUUAGAGAGGAGGGAAAGUUUGGUUUGAGCAACUGGAAGUUUGAAGACUUCUUCCUACUUCUUCUUGUCAGGGUGUCACCCACUGGAGGAAAAAAGGGUGUGCUUUGACCUUGUGGUAGCUAACACAUGCUAACCAAGACAUGGUAAAAGCCUAAUGAAGACAAGGCCUUAACUGAAGGAUUUAUUCAUGCACUGGUGCUGGGCACAGCUCAGGAACCAAGAGGAGACCGCUUGUUCCUCCUGCUGCGGGCGGGGUUAGUAUCUACAAGUUAGAUACUACUCAAUAAGAGAGACUGUCAAAGAAAUCAUAAAAACGUACACUGUAAAUUAGAGCUGGUCCAAAUUUUCUAGUUUAAAAAUGAAUAAGUAAAUUGGUUAAGUAAAAAUAGCUUUUUAGGGGAAACAAAAAAUUCACAGAACAAAUAAUUUUAAUGACUUUCAAUGGAAAACUAAUUUUUAAUAAUAAACCUUUUCUGCUUUCUGUUAAAAAACAAACAAAAACAAACCACAGAACCCAAAUGUUGUUGUUGUUGUUAUUACUCUUUUACCAAAUACCUGAGAAUGUUUUGGGUUUGGAUUUUUGUUGUUGAAAAUAUGAAAAAAAAGUGGGAAAUUUAGAUAAAAAUGGGAAGAAAAUUCCCUGCAAAAAAUACUUGGUAUUUUACCCCAGCUUUGUAGAUCACACGCUCAGAACACAGUGCCCAUUCCAGCUGCACAAAGGUGCCUUAAGUAGACAGCUGAGAAUUCCCCUUAUGUAGAGGAAGCCCAGAGUGAUGUAAAGCCAGUGUUUAGUCAGAACAUGCCCUUCAUCAAGUAUCAGAGGGGUAGCCGUGUUAGUCUUUAUCCACAAAAACAAUGAGGAGUCCGGUGGCACCUUAAAGACUAACAGAUUUAUUUGGGCAUAAGCUUUCAUGGGUAAAGAACCCACUUCUGAAGAAGUUUUUUACCCUCGAAAGCUUAUUCCCAAAUAAAUCUGUUCGUCUUUAAGGUGCCCUCAGACUCCUCAUUGUCUUCAUCAGAAUGUGUCCUUGUGCCACUGCCUGUGUGCAAACUCCCUGUCAGAACACGCCAUUGUCUGCAUGUGGGCAUUGGGAAAGUGAUGCUGCCCUUGCCCUCUCCUGUCCUUUUCCCACUGUUUUGGGGUGUGUGUGUGUGUUUCAUUUUGCCAAGUGCACUGAGAGGGGAGAUAUGUCAACAGCCAGAUUCACUCUUUGCUCACCUGGGGUUCUGCAACAGAUUAGAGUUUUGAUAGAUGAGGCUGAAGCCCCCCCCACCCCCGGCCAAAAAUAAUCCACCCCUUUCUGUUUGCCCCUGGGUGGGGGAGGGCAUAAGCUCCAGCCCAUUCCAAGACAACCUUGAGGCUGCUCUGAGUUUCACUUAAGUGAGUCUAGGGGCAAAAGAUGGUGUAAAGCCUCCUUUGCCCCCCACCCCAUUCUGAGCGCUGCUUCGGUGCACUCAAGGGUCUGUCCCACAGGUUUUUUUAUGAAUCUACUUGCGAUUCACAAUACUCACUAGAGGCUUGUGGAAAAAGCCAGCAGUAGCUGGUAUGCACUAGCUACUCUGCACUAACUCCCUGUGUGGACACUCCUACUGUGUACUGAAAGUGCCUUUGUAUGAAUUAGCUUAAUGCACUUUGGAAGUAUAUUUAGCUAAACUGACUUAGAGCACUCUCAGUGCACGGUAAGUGUCCAAACAGGGAGUUAGGGCGGAGUAGUUACAUUCACACACUAACCUCCCUGUGUAGACAAGACCUAAAAUACUGUUCGGAGAUGUAUCUCUCUUCAAACAAACUCUGACUUGUUAUGUAUAUAAUAUAUGAGUGCUGACAAAAUUAUUAAAAAUGUUUAUCUUAGAGAGAACAUAAGAGCUGCCAUACUGGGUCAGACCAUGGUCCGUCUAGCCCUGUCUGUGGCCUGUACCAAAGUUUCAGGGGGAGGUAAUAAAACAGGACAAUUAUGGAAGAGUCCACGAGCCCAUCUUCUACUCCCAGCUUCUGGUAGUAAGAGGAUUAGAGUAGCCCCGAGCAUAAGGUUGCAUCCCUGAUCAUCUUGUCUAAUAGCCACUGAUGGACCAGUCCUCCAUGAACUUAUCUUUUUGAACCCAGGUAUAGUUUUGACCUUCAUAACAUCUUCUGGGAAGGAGUUCCACA